rnacentral:lncRNA from 1 species
CCCAUAUUAAGCCAUAGUAUUUUGUUAAACAGGCUCCUGGUCUGUCAUUCUUUAACACCUAUGUAUGUUUUCUAAUGCAAUACAUAGCUUGAAACUUUAAAAAAAACGUUAGUGGAUUUAAGAAGUUUCAGAAUAUGUUCUUGUAGAUGUAUUUUUGUAUUUAAAGGGUCAACCGUUUGACUAUCAAAUAACAUAGAAGUCCGAGUGAAAAAAAGUACAUUUUUAUAACUGCGAUUCCGUUUUCCGCCGUUCGUACGAUGUUUCAACAAAAUAUGGAUUCAUUUCAGUUGUUGAUUUAGUAUUGAAAAUUUAACUGAAUUAUCUCCUAUUAAAUACGGUUUUAUAUGUUUAAUUUGUGUUUCUUUAAGAGGUCAGGUGCUCUUGUUCAUUCAUAAAAUUAUCGUUCAUUCAUACAUUUAUCGUAAAAUCAAAAUCACUACACAGGUUAAUGCGUAGUGUCAAAUGAUUACCUGUAAUCUAAAAAUAGACAAACUUUGUUUGCGCAAAUAAUUUAGCGGAACGAAACCCUUGUUGAAAACACAUAACAAUAAGUUCGUUUUCCUUUUCUGUCAAAACUCCGUAAUAUUUAUCGAUCACCUUACUAAUGAAAUGGACCCGUCCAAACGUAGUAGAUGCCAAGUCGGUCCAGAUGAAGAGAUAUUUCAAUUUGGAAUUUUCUAGUUACAUAGAUUGAAAAAAAGUACGUCUUUUUAAAUAUCAUGAUCAAAACUGGGUAUGCAUAACAAAUGUCAGAUGAAACCAUUAUCCUCGUCUUUUCAGUGAACAAGUCUACUACGUUUGUUGACACUCGACGGUCCACCGUGUUAGCAAUUUUAUUUCACAUGUUUUCGAAAUAUUGAAGAUCAUUUUUCGCAAUGUUUCCUGAAAAUUGAUAAAUGUCAAAGCAACGUAGAGCUGUUUGUUCUUGUUCGUAUAAUAAAAUUGAGAAUGGAAAUGGGGAAUGUGUCAAAGAGACAACAACCCGACCAUAGAAAAACAUACAACAGCAGAAGGUCACCAACAGGUCUUCAAUGCAGCGUAAAAUUCCCACACCCGGAGGCGUCCUUCAACUGGCCCUAAACAAUACAUAUACUAGUUCAGUGAUAACGAUUUAAUGUCAUGUUUGUCUGUGAUGACCCCCCCCCCCCCCCCUUUCGGUAUUGCAUGAGAAUUAUAGUUAUCUCAUACCCAUAUGCACUUGUUUCUAUCCAUAGGAAGGUCGACUAUCCAUAUAAAACUAUUUUGGAUAGAAACAAGUGCCUGUGCUCGUACCGCAUCAGAAGGACAUACAUGUAUAUCAACUGAGCAAUAAUGUUUGGAACUUAGUUUUAAAAAUGAUGACAAAGUACCAUUAUGAAAAUAUUUUUAUUAAGCUGAAAUAUAUA